rnacentral:misc_RNA from 1 species
UUUCCGUAGGUGAACCUGCGGAAGGAUCAUUAUUGGAUUUUGAAACUUCAGGCUGCUGCUGGCUCUCCUCGGAGGGCAUGUGCACGCUUGUUGUCCAUUAUUUCUCCCACUGUGCACAAAUUGUAGACCUUUCAGUAGGCCUAUGUUGGUUUUCACAAUCUCUGAAUGUAAUAGAAUGGUUUUGAAUCUUGGGAAAUACAAUACAACUUUCAGCAACGGAUCUCUUGGCUCUCGCAUUGAUGAAGAACGCAGC